rnacentral:rRNA from 1 species
AGGCUGCAACCCGCCUGCAUGAAGUCGGAAUUGCUAGUAAUCGCGGAUCAGCAUGCCGCGGUGAAUACGUUCCCGGGCCUUGUACACACCGCCCGUCACACCAUGGGAGCCGGUAAUACCCGAAGUCAAUGGUCUAACCGCAAGGAGGACGUUGCCGAAGGUAGGAUUGGCGACUGGGGUGAAGUCGUAACAAGGUAUC